rnacentral:lncRNA from 1 species
UUGAGACUACUUGUUAUGUUUUGAGCUAGAUUAUGAAUUAAUCAGUUACAAAUACUCCAUAUGAGAUAUAAACUAGGCAUAAGCUGAUACUUUCUUACCUUAGGAUUUAGGAGUGUUUAUUUUAUAUCAAGCAUUUGCAGAUCAAUUAGCUUGAAUCUCGAUCCUAUAUGUAUUAUUUUGUAGGGCAACCGCAAAGAAUCUAGGGGAUAU